AUUGAACGCUGGCGGCAGGCCUAACACAUGCAAGUCGAACGAGUGGCGGACGGGUGAGUAAUGUCUGGGAAACUGCCCGAUGGAGGGGGAUAACUACUGGAAACGGUAGCUAAUACCGCAUACCAUCAGAUGUGCCCAGAUGGGAUUAGCUUGUUGGUGGGGUAACGGCUCACCUAGGCGACGAUCCCUAGCUGGGUUGAGAGGAUGACCAGCCACAUUGGAACUGAGACAAGGGCCAGAAUUCUAAGGGAGGCAGGAGGGGGGAAAAUUGGACAAAGGGGGGAAGGCUGAUGGAGCCAUGCCGCGGGUAUGAAGGAGGCCUUCGGGUUGGAAAGUACUUUCAGGGAGGAAGCGUUACCCGCAGAAGGAGCACCGGCUAACUCCGGGCCCACCGCCGCGGUAAUAA
rnacentral:rRNA from 1 species